UGCCGCGUGCAGGAUGACGGUCCUAUGGAUUGUAAACUGCUUUUAUACGAGAAGAAACACUCCUUCCUGAAGGAGCUUGACGGUAUCGUAAGAAUAAGGAUCGGCUAACUCCGUGCCAGCAGCCGCGGUAAUACGGAGGAUCCGAGCGUUAUCCGGAAUCAUUGGGUUUAAAGGGUCCGUAGGCGGUUUAAUAAGUCAGUGGUGAAAGCCCAUCGCUCAACGGUGGAACGGCCAUUGAUACUGUUAAACUUGAAUUAUUAGGAAGUAACUAGAAUAUGUAGUGUAGCGGUGAAAUGCUUAUAGAUUACAUGGAAUACCAAUUGCGAAGGCAGGUUACUACUAAUGGAUUGACGCUGAUGGACGAAAGCGUGGGUAGCGAACAGGAUUAGAUACCCUGGUAGUCCACGCCGUAAACGAUGGAUACUAGCUGUUGGGAGCAAUUUCAGUGGCUAACCGAAAGUGAUAAGU
rnacentral:rRNA from 1 species